UUUUACGAAGUUUAAUAAUAAUAAAUAGCUUAUUUUCACUAAGCAGAUUGGCUAAUGCCCGUAAAAC
rnacentral:tRNA from 1 species